AAUUAAAUAAACAGUAAAGGUCUUUUUGCUAUCUAAGCAAAAAGAGUAAAAGGGAAGUUGGUGAAAAUCCAGCGCUGUCCCGCAACUGUAAAUGGGAGUAGCCCUAUAAUCCACUGUUGCAACGAUUUGCAAUGGGAAGGAAGGGAGUACGAUGACCAUAAGCCAGGAGACCUGCCUUUAUGAUGACAGAUUC
rnacentral:ncRNA from 2 species